rnacentral:rRNA from 1 species
UACGAAGGGGGCUAGCGUUGUUCGGAUUUACUGGGCGUAAAGGGCGCGUAGGCGGGCGAUUUAGUCAGGGGUGAAAUCCCAAGGCUCAACCUUGGAACUGCCUUUGAUACUGAUUGUCUUGAGUUCGAGAGAGGUAAGUGGAACUGCGAGUGUAGAGGUGAAAUUCGUAGAUAUUCGCAAGAACACCAGUGGCGAAGGCGGCUUACUGGCUCGAUACUGACGCUGAGGCGCGAAAGCGUGGGGAGCAAACAGG